CAGCCUUUAUAUACCACCGCGAGCCCUCCACCACGACCAGAGGUCCUGGGAGUACUGAUAAAACAACAGUCAGGUGGACAAAGUUCAAUUAGAGGGCCGUAUUCCAAAUUGUAAGUACAGUAA